GGCUAGGAGUGAAAUCUUGUAAUCCCUGUGAGACCACCAGUGGCGAAGGCGUCUUACCAGAACGGGUCCGACGGUGAGGGACGAAAGCUGGGGGCACGAACCGGAUUAGAUACCCGGGUAGUCCCAGCUGUAAACGAUGCUCGUUAGGUGUCAGGAACGGUGCGACUGUUUCUGGUGCCGAAGGGAAGCCGUGAAACGAGCCACCUGGGAAGUACGGCCGCAAGGCUGAAACUUAAAGGAAUUGGCGGGGGAGCACUACAACGGGUGGAGCCUGCGGUUUAAUUGGACUCAACGCCGGAAAACUCACCGGGGGCGACAGCAAUAUGUAGGUCAGGUUAAAGGUCUUACCUGAAUCGCUGAGAGGAGGUGCAUGGCCGUCGUCAGUUCGUACUGUGAAGCAUCCUGUUAAGUCAGGCAACGAGCAAGACCCGUGCCCACUGUUACCAGCAUAUCCUUUAUGGAUGAUGGGGACUCUGUGGGGACCGCUGCUGCUAAAGCAGAGGAAGGUGCGGGCUACGGUAGGUCAGUAUGCCCCGAAUCUCCCGGGCUACACGCGGGCUACAAUGGUUGGGACAAUGGGUAUCUACUCCGAAAGGAGUUGGCAAUCUCUUAAACCCAAUCGUAGUUCGAAUUGAGGGCUGUAACUCGCCCUCAUGAAGCUG
rnacentral:rRNA from 1 species